rnacentral:rRNA from 1 species
UACGUAGGGUGCAAGCGUUGUCCGGAAUUAUUGGGCGUAAAGAGCUCGUAGGCGGUUAGUCGCGUCUGCUGUGAAAACUCGGGGCUUAACUCCGGGCCUGCAGUGGGUACGGGCAGACUAGAGUGUGGUAGGGGAGACUGGAAUUCCUGGUGUAGCGGUGAAAUGCGCAGAUAUCAGGAGGAACACCGAUGGCGAAGGCAGGUCUCUGGGCCGCUACUGACGCUGAGAAGCGAAAGCAUGGGGAGCGAACAGG